rnacentral:tRNA from 1 species
UCUCUGGUGGUCCAGGAAUUAGGACUCUGAACUUUCACUCCAGGGGACCUGGGUUCGAUCCCUGGUUGGGGAG